UACGUAGGGGGCUAGCGUUGUCCGGAUUUAUUGGGCGUAAAGAGCGUGUAGGCGGCCAUGUAGGUCCGGUGUGAAAACUCGAGGCUUAACCUCGAGAUGUCAUCGGAAACCAUUUGGCUAGAGUCCGGAAGAGGAGAGUGGAAUUCCUGGUGUAGCGGUGAAAUGCGCAGAUAUCAGGAAGAACACCAAUGGCGAAAAGCAGCUCUCUGGGGACGGUACUGACGCUGAGACGCGAAAAGCGUGGGGAGCGAACAGG
rnacentral:rRNA from 1 species